rnacentral:lncRNA from 1 species
UUUUACGCUAUCCAGUGGCCCGAACCUGGGUAAAAACCAUCUGUGUCGCCACCGUCGUGUUGUGUGGCACCCCGGCUUAGAGAAACCGGAACGCCCCGUAUUCCAGCCCAGAGAUCGAGGAGAAGUCUUCUCGAAUAUGGCAAUACUUAGCAUAGAACAAACCAGCUUUCUAUUAUUACAUGAAUAUGAAUACAAGGUCUCCGACAUUACAAUGAAUAACAUCGGCCCGGUGAUACUUCGCCAUCCUCAGUUGCUCUAUGCAAGCAGCAGAACAACUCGAACCAGCGGGAAAACUCUGGCAGCAGAACAAUGAUAACAGUGAUGAACUCCACUCCGCAGGGACUCUGGCUGGAACGCUUAUCCUAGCUCGCAAACAAAGAAUCCACACAAACAAGCAUUCAAAUCCGGCAUGACCUGCAAACUGGCAUGACACGCCAGGUCAGUACAUUGAAUGUACUUGCAAGCUCACAAUAACCAGAAAUAUUCAAGACAAGCAUCAGCAUGGCAUUUACAGGUUAAGCAGGAAUUAACAUGAGAUCCUCAUAACAAUAUGACAUGAACAACAUGAACAUGGUACAACUAGAACAACAUGAGCAUGGCAAGAACAUAUGAAUCUGACGAUACUAGCAUGCAACAUGAUGACACUAUAUGCACCACUAAUUCUGCUCGGGCUACCUCGUAACCAUCACAUGCAUCACUUACCAUCCUCGGACAUCACACGAUCAUCUUAGGAUCAAAUCAAGCUUGGUAAAAACAAUACCGCAGUGAUCAUUAAAUGACCACAAGGAACUUGAUCUUUACCCACGAUUCUCGCACAACAUCCUGAAUAUCCAACAACUCGGUAUCCUAGAUACCAUGGUGAUCAUUCACGAAUCACAAACGGAACCACUCUGGGUUCAACGGGCUACCCCGUAACUAAACGGUGAUCUUUCCGGCGAUCACAACCAUGACCAACACCUGGUCUCAAAUGGUGAUCUUUCCGGCGAUCCCAACCAACCUAUCUCAUCAUCGAACUGGGGUUGUUAUUAAGCACAUUAUUAUUAAUACUGUUGACUCACAGUGUGACCGACACGAACUGGGCCCUUAUCUGCAGGCGCGCUUAUCGAUAGAUUUAAUAUACACUCUGGAGAGGUUAGUACACUGUACCCACACUACGGAACCCAUGGCCUCACACUCCCAUUCGGGUGGACCAACGGCGUUCCGACAAAACCAAUCUACUGUCGUGACAGUCUCCCGGCCACUCCGACCAACUCCCCUUUGGGCUAAGUCCUGGGUGGCCCCGUGCCUACCAAAGGCACCAACGGCCACCGUUGUGGCCAAAACAUAAACGGUCCCAGACAGGGACAACGCGGGUACAACAACAACAAUGGGCACACAAGGUUAUGUCUGCUUACCGGGCCAGGGUACCGCACGCCCAUAACCUUCCCUCCUUGGAGGCACCAGCGAGAGGCAUGCCAAUAGACCGAGUUAGGACCUUCCCAUAAAGGCAAGCGUGGUUGCACUGGUUAUCUCGAUAUGGUGGCACCAUGACUCAGCCAACAGUUGUUCAAGUUCAAUUUAAUCCGGUUAAACUUGAAUGCAAAUAUGCUGAGCCAUGAUAAAAUAACAUGAUGCAAAUUACAAUGCAUGAACAUGAUAUCAACAUAAGCAUGGAGGUGCAACAUAACUAUUAACCAUAUCAACAAUGAAUCAUAUCCAACUGAGCAUGACAUGCUGACUAGCAUGAAUAUCACAAGUACAUACUUCUCAGAAACAUAGCAUGACCACUAGCAUCAACAAUAAAUAUCAUGUAAGAACAUAUCAACAAUGCCAUCAUGCAAGAAUUUAACCAACUGGAUACAAUGGAACAUGCAUAACCACGAUACUCGGGACAAACGACAGUCAUGCACCGAAGACCAUCACAAACAUCAACAUGUACUACUAGCAAGCAUAAUCAUAUUAAAGAAAUACUAGCAACUCGCAAGGCGUGAUAAUCAGGUGCAUAAUAACAUAGCAAGAAAGUAAGCACUAACCCAGAAGCAUUACUAAAACAACGAUAACCAUAUUUUAAACAAGCAAACAUUUUACAAAUAUUCAAGUUGAAAACCAUGACUACUACAUGACUAUCAUGCAAGUGGGUAUUGUGGCUUGCCUAGGGAUGAAGAAAUCACCGGGACAAAGUGUGAGAGGCUUGCGGGAAGAAUUACCGGAAAAACGUUCUCUCUCGGAGGGGCCUGAUUAGGGGCAAGGGCAAGAAGGUCAUUUUCAGAACGUUAAAACGUAGUGAAAAUGAUACCAGCAAAACGGACUCGGCGAGACGAAGAAGUGGGCUUUGGAAUCACCUCAUUUGGAGUUGUGGUUAAAAAGUUAUGGUUGUUUUUCUGCCAGGGACCUAUCUAUAAUGAAAUCAUCACAAACAAGCCCUCAGCCGGAAAAAUAGAAAGCGCCUUCUCAGGAAAUACGUUUUCCAGAACGGAAAGCGUAUUUUGGCUCGAAUAAGAAACAAAAUGCGCUUUCAGUUAGCGUAGGCCUACUCCCUGGAGUACAUCUCCACUUAUCCAGUGUGGCAGUGGGAGGCCGUGGCGCUGAUCGGCUGACGAGUGGGGCCCGCCUUAUCCAUCUCUUUCUCUCUCUCUCUCUUCUCGCCU